UACGGAGGAUGCAAGCGUUAUCCGGAAUCAUUGGGCGUAAAGCGUCCGCAGGUGGCAGUUCAAGUCUGCUGUCAAAGACUGGGGCUUAACCCUAGAAAGGCAGUGGAAACUGAACAGCUAGAGUGCGGUAGGGGUAGAGGGAAUUCCCGGUGUAGCGGUGAAAUGCGUAGAGAUCGGGAAGAACACCAGUGGCGAAGGCGACUUUCUGGACCAUAACUGACGCUGAGGCAUGAAAGCGUGGGGAGCAAACAGG
rnacentral:rRNA from 1 species